rnacentral:lncRNA from 1 species
AGUAGGUUGAAUCAUGUCCCCUAGAAGACUUGCACCAGAGACUGUUGAACCACUCCAGGCAUGAACUCCAAAGCUGAGGCACACUGACCAAGCCCCUGGGCAUCUACAGAAGCAAAGGCGUUCUCUCUCCAGCUGGCUGCUCCUUCUGGAAGAGCCCUUUGAUCUGGGUUAAUCGGCCAUAGAGCCUCUCUCUCAAUGGAGGAAUGUGGUAGCUAGGGUCCAGAAUGUUUGUCACUCGGCGCUCUCUCUCUUGCUUCCAUAACUUGUAUGGGUGGGGAGGGAAGAACGGUCGUCCUCUCUCUCUUUGAAUCUGUAACGUAAU